GCCGUCGAAGGUGGGACAAAUGAUUGGGGUGAAGUCGUAACAAGGUAGCCGUAUCGGAAGGUGCGGCUGGAUCACCUCCUUUCUAAGGA
rnacentral:rRNA from 5 species